rnacentral:lncRNA from 1 species
CUUCAGGUGGGCUGCACAGAGCCUACACCACUUUUCAACUUAGCCUCAGCAUUCAGGGAAGUCUGCUUUUCAGCUCCACCUUCUGCCUUGGGAAGGCCCGAGAGCCGACUGGCCACUUUGAGGCAGGAGACUAGGGUCUGGAGGCAGGAAACCUAAGGCUGAUUCACGCUGACUUCCUAGAACCAAAUUGAAAGGAAAACCCCAACUUUCCAUACCUAAGUAGCAAAAGGACCAGGGGCGACUCCCUUUGAAAACCACCCACCCGUUUCUGCUGGAAAACUGAAAGUACCUCUGAUUGGUUGCUUCCUGCAACCGAUCAGAUAUUUGCAUAGGAGUGUAACUUUGUAACUUCACUUCAGUCUCUGAUGAGUUGCUUUCUGCAACCAAUCAGAUUGAUUUCGGGCCACUACUUUAUUUGCAUGGGGUGAACACCAUGUGGCCAAUGGGAAACCUCUAGGGGGUAUUCGGACCCCAGAAGAUUCUGCAACUGGGCUCUUGAGUCCCUAUGCUCGGGGCGCUCCCACCCUAUGGAGUGUGCUUUCAUUUUCAAUAAAUCUCUGCUUUUGUUGCUUCAUUCUUUCCUUGCUUUGUUUGUGGGUUUUGUCCAACUCUUUGUUCAAAAUGCCAAGAACCUGGACACCCUCCACUGGUAACAGCUUCACUGCCUUGAAGUCCAUCAGGGACCAGGUGGCCACAGAAAUGAUCAUGAUAUGGAGCCUGCAUAUCAUCUGGAGUUACUCCAGCAAGGCAGGCCAUUCCAAUUCGGUGAUGUGAUACCUGACAUUAUUUACUCCAGAUGUGAUACUGACAUUAUUUACUCCAGAUGUGAUGCCUGACAUUAUUUACUCCAGAUGUGAUAACUGACAUUAUUUACUGCAGAUGUGAUACUGACAUUAUUUAUUCCAGAUGUAAUGCCUGACAUUAUUUACUCCAGGUGUGAUACUGACAUUAUUUACUGCAGAUGUGAUACCUGACAUUAUUUACUCCAGAUGUGAUAUUGACAUUAUUUACUCCAGAUGUGAUACUGACAUUAUUUACUCCAGAUGUGAUACCUGACAUUAUUUACUCCAGAUGUGAUGCCUGACAUUAUUUACUCCAGAUGUGAUACUGACAUUAUUUACUCCAGAUGUGAUACUGACAUUAUUUACUCC